rnacentral:antisense_RNA from 1 species
CUUCACCGACCCCAUCAACAACGGGCGGUCCGCGUCACGUGCGGCACCGUAUACGGCGCCCGCCGCCUGCGCCUC